GCCCCGAUAGCUCAGUUGGAUAGAGCAGCGGUCUUCUAAACCGCAGGUCGGACGUUCGAGUCGUCCUCGGGGCG
rnacentral:tRNA from 1 species